rnacentral:rRNA from 1 species
UUCCAGACUCCUACGGGAGGCAGCAGUGAGGAAUAUUGGUCAAUGGGCGAGAGCCUGAACCAGCCAAGUCGCGUGAGGGAUGACUGCCCUAUGGGUUGUAAACCUCUUUUGUAUGGGGGGAAUAAGCUUUACGAGUAGAGUGAUGACAGUACCAUACGAAUAAGCAUCGGCUAACUCCGUGCCAGCAGCCGCGGUAAUACGGAGGAUGCGAGCGUUAUCCGGAUUUAUUGGGUUUAAAGGGUGCGUAGGCGGAUUUUUAAGUCAGCGGUAAAAUGUCCGGGCUCAACCCGGGCCGGCCGUUGAAACUGGGGAUCUUGAGUGGGCGAGAAGUAUGCGGAAUGCGUGGUGUAGCGGUGAAAUGCAUAGAUAUCACGCAGAACUCCGAUUGCGAAGGCAGCAUACCGGCUCCACACUGACGCUGAGGCACGAAAGCGUGGGUAUCGAACAGGAUUAGAUACCCCAGUA